UACGGAGGGUGCAAGCGUUGCUCGGAAUUAUUGGGCGUAAAGGGUAGGUAGGUGGUCUCAUUUGUCUGGGGUGAAAGCCUUGAGCUUAACUCAAGAAGUGCCCCAGAAACGGUGAGACUGGAGUCCUGGAGAGGGUCGUGGAAUUCCCGGUGUAGCGGUGAAAUGCGUAGAGAUCGGGAGGAACACCUGAGGCGAAAGCGGCGACCUGGACAGGUACUGACACUCAACUACGAAAGCGUGGGGAGCAAACAGG
rnacentral:rRNA from 1 species